CGAAAGUCUGACGGAGCAACGCCGCGUGAGUGAUGAAGGUUUUCGGAUCGUAAAGCUCUGUUGUUAGGGAAGAACAAGUGCAAGAGUAACUGCUUGCACCUUGACGGUACCUAACCAGAAAGCCACGGCUAACUACGUGCCAGCAGCCGCGGUAAUACGUAGGUGGCAAGCGUUGUCCGGAAUUAUUGGGCGUAAAGGGCUCGCAGGCGGUUUCUUAAGUCUGAUGUGAAAGCCCCCGGCUCAACCGGGGAGGGUCAUUGGAAACUGGGAAACUUGAGUGCAGAAGAGGAGAGUGGAAUUCCACGUGUAGCGGUGAAAUGCGUAGAGAUGUGGAGGAACACCAGUGGCGAAGGCGACUCUCUGGUCUGUAACUGACGCUGAGGAGCGAAAGCGUGGGGAGCGAACAGGAUUAGAUACCCUGGUAGUCCACGCCGUAAACGAUGAGUGCUAAGUGUUAGGGGGUUUCCGCCCCUUAGUGCUGCAGCUAACGCAUUAAGCAC
rnacentral:rRNA from 1 species